rnacentral:rRNA from 1 species
AGAACGAACGCUGGCGGCAUGCCUAACACAUGCAAGUCGAACGAGACCUUCGGGUCUAGUGGCGCACGGGUGCGUAACGCGUGGGAAUCUGCCCUUGGGUUCGGAAUAACAGUUAGAAAUGACUGCUAAUACCGGAUGAUGACGAAAGUCCAAAGAUUUAUCGCCCAGGGAUGAGCCCGCGUAGGAUUAGCUAGUUGGUGAGGUAAAGGCUCACCAGGGCGACGAUCCUUGGCUGGUCUGAGAGGAUGAUCAGCCACACUGGGACUGAGACACGGCCCAGACUCCUACGGGAGGCAGCAGUGGGGAAUAUUGGACAAUGGGCGAAAGCCUGAUCCAGCAAUGCCGCGUGAGUGAUGAAGGCCUUAGGGUUGUAAAGCUCUUUUACCCGGGAUGAUAAUGACAGUACCGGAGAAUAAGCUCCGGCUAACUCCGCGCCAGCAGCCGC